AACAACACCAUCGUUGUCAACAAUUUUUUCUGCAACUCAAAUCCUCAAUCCCUUCUCACUGCCGCACUUGCUUCAUAAGCACCAUAUUUGUCAACACCAUCACUUUUAAGUCCAUCAAAAACACUAUCUCUUUUGUUUCCAAUUUUCUCCGUCACCAAAACGUCGUCUCAAAUUAAUCCAAUCAAUCAAGUUAAACGAUUUGUUAUGGAAGAAAUAUAAACCCUAAGAAUACUAUCUAAGAAACCCAAGGGUUCUACUCUUAAAAAAGAUUCAAAUCAAUUAAUCCCCAAUUCAUCACUAAUUCUAAACCAAAAAAUUGUUCGUUAUUGUCAACGUAGUUCACCGUCAUCACCAUUGAGAGAAGUAUUGGAAAAAUGAAGAAAAAUUGCAGAAGGGUGAAAGCGUAACAUAAACAGAGAGAGAAGUACCUAUUUUUAUAAGCAUAUGAGAAGUUACCUAACUAGACAAAGGCACAGACUUAAUUGUGCUGAUCUCGUAAUUGAUCCCAAAUAAGAUUGUAUUGUAUUAGCCUUUGAGUUUUGAUAAGAUUUUAGAUAAUAUGACCCAGUGGACUUUAUUUUCUAGUUGAGUAUUGAAUACUGAAUGGUUUUUAGUUACUACACAUCCAUCAUACAAAUAU
rnacentral:sRNA from 1 species